rnacentral:lncRNA from 7 species
UAUUUGUUCUUGUUUGUAGGUUCCAGUUCUCUUGGGUUCUGAGUGUCUCGUGAGACACACCAGAAGUCUGUAAUUGGGGAUGCUCAGCUCUCUCAAUUUUUUCUUUGUUAUUAUUUCCAACUGAGCCAAGAGCAACUGCUUCUCCAUGUGUGAAAAUCUGGUGUACGUGUGCCUACUCAAGUCUUCUGAUCUCUGAAUUCUGUAGCAGACAAGGUAAGAAAACCAGGCUAACUUAUAACAACCAAGGACAAAUCAGGCUGUUAAUUCAUUGCUGUUCUAAAAGGAAAAGAGGACAGUAAGAAAAGUUCCACUUGGAAUAAUGGAAAAAUAUCUGUGAGUAGGUGGUGUGCUGUUAUGAAAAGAGAAAUGGGGAAAAAAGAAAAAGAAAAAAGGCGAGAGCUGUCACACUGGAUCUAUACCUAAAGAAAAAUUCCUACAAUCAAGAUAUUAUUACUGCUUCCAAUCUCAAAGACAUGGAGGAACACACUGACCAAAGAGAUAUUCUUGAAUUAUAUUUACAGUGGAAUUUGGGUGAAAUUAAAGCUUAUAUUAGUACUGAAUGGAGAGGAGGAAGGAAAAUUGUGUGUACUUAGUCCAUCACUAGGUUUGUAGCAAACUUUUAAAAUCCUUUAGUCAGAGGAAGCAGGAAGGAAGUUUGUUAAUUCUGAUGUUUUACAGAAAUUUUGUGUUGUUUCAUGUGGCUUUUGAUCUAGAACAAGUUAAGGUGAUGCAUAUACUUUAGGAGUAGAAGAUAAUACUGUUGUAACAGGGAUCAUGUUUUCAAACGCUACUCAUGAGUCUAUCUCUGAUCAUGUAAAAUUGCUGCUGUUGUGGAGUUCUUGUAGUGUAAGUCCAGGAACAUGUCAGGAGAGUACACUGUGGAUCAGAGGGCAAGAAUAAGAUACAGCAACCAUAGGAGCAAGCUGUUUGCUAUAUGAACUUCCCCUAUCCACCUUUCUGCUGAGAUGCAAAUGUCUCUGAUGAUGCCAACUUCUAUCCUUCGUGUGCUUAAUACUGUUCUUUUAACAUAACCAACUACCUUCUCCAAAAGUUAUCGAAAGAAAUGGAUGUUCAAAUUAUUAUGAGGAAAUCUAUGUAAGGCUAAAGAAAUGUAUUUCCCUUAAUGCACUAGGAAUUGAAAAAAAGGCUUUGAUUUGCACUCAUCUGUAAGCAAUCCUCUCCAGUCACCUCUUAGCACGAAAACUUGUCAAUUAACUGCUCUAAGAAUGCUCCUUACUGCACUUAUUUUGAUUACGUUCUUGGGUUUUGCCCCUGCUUCAUCAGCAUGUGCUAUUGUUUCAUUGAAAUGUAAUUUUGAACAUGACUCAAUAAACACCAACUAUACUAUACACACCUACUGAUGUCCCUAGGAAACUGCCGUGAUUUUAUUGUUAUGGCUUCUUUAAGCUCCUGAGCUGCAAGUUGUUCUAUACACAGAUAUAUAAUUAUACCUUUAUUGGUUCUGAUUUUCAGCUCAGCUUUUACAUUCACUAGUUUUACUGAAACUUAUGCUAUUGUAUAAAAUUAAAUUUACUGGUAAGCAUCUUUUGUGAUUUCUGCCAUGCUGCCAUUUACACUUUGGAGCGGUUCCUAUUAAAUGAAUCUACACCUACUGAAUUACCUAUAUUGAAAUUUGUCUGCAUUCUGUUAGCUUGUUAGUUGUCUUAGAACUCUUAAUAUCACAUAGGCUUCAGGUUUGCUAAUGCUGCUGCAUGUCUGUAAAAAUUAUAUUAUUUCACUGCUUCCAUUAAGCUUCUCAUCUGCCUUUCGCAGUCUCAACUGAGGUAUGCUGUUUUGUUCCAUAUUUACCAAGAAUCUGACAUAACAAGUUUAGUCUCCAAAGGCAAAUUUUAGCCAGAAUGACAGGUCGUCUUAUUAAGAGACUGUCUUCAAAGAGCAUAGAAAGCAAUUAUAGAAAAAAAAGUUGACAGUUAAGAAAAUCUAGAGUUUUUGUUUGUUUUGUUUUUUCCCCAUAAGCAUGGUAUUUAACAAUAACCAAUUGAAAUACCAAGAUAAACUCAUACUCUACAUGGAUAAAUCGGAAGAGACAGAUCUUGUAAAAUGUAGACGGUAUAUAUGUGCUGUUUUUGUAUUCAAUUAAAUGCUUUUCAAACAGAUAAAUUGAGCAG